rnacentral:ncRNA from 1 species
UACCUUGGGGUGCCUACUUGGCUGAGAUGCAUAUUGCGGACCCGUUGAACCUGAACCGGUUAGGACCGGCGGAGGAAAGGUAAGG